rnacentral:tmRNA from 1 species
GGGGAUGCCAAGGUCUCGACAUGACUAAUGUUUACCCAAACGCAGUAGGGUUUGCCCUUUAUAGCUAGAGGUUCUGUUACAUGACAACAACCAAAACAACGAGGUUGUUCAACUCAGUGACUAUGAAGUUGCUCAACUUUCAAGACAAGCUCAACCUAACUACGCUUUUGUAGCAUAGGCACUUGUCUAUAAGUAUUAUUGGUUUUAUUAUUUUACCAAAAUACAAUAAAUAAAAUAAUAUAUUAUGCAAAUACUAAUAUGCAUAAUGAAACUUAUUAGAUAUAUUAAUUGGGGUUGAUAUAUUACCACACUAAUUAAUGAAAGCUUAAAAUAUAUCUAAACUGUAGUGUUUGCUUAAAGAUUAAUUGUGGAAAGGAGUUCGAUUCUCCUCAUCUCCACCA